AACGAACGCUGGCGGCAGGCUUAACACAUGCAAGUCGAGCGCCCCGCAAGGGGAGCGGCAGACGGGUGAGUAACGCGUGGGAACGUACCCUUUGCUACGGAAUAGCUCCGGGAAACUGGAAUUAAUACCGUAUGUGCCCUACGGGGGAAAGAUUUAUCGGCAAAGGAUCGGCCCGCGUUGGAUUAGCUAGUUGGUGGGGUAAUGGCCUACGAAGGCGACGAUCCAUAGCUGGUCUGAGAGGAUGAGCAGCCACAUUGGGACUGAGACACGGCCCAAGCUCCUACGGGAGGCAGCAGUGGGGAAUAUUGGACAAUGGGCGCAAGCCUGAUCCAGCCAUGCCGCGUGAGUGAUGAAGGCCUUAGGGUUGUAAAGCUCUUUCACCGGAGAAGAUAAUGACGGUAUCCGGAGAAGAAGCCCCGGCUAACUUCGUGCCAGCCGCCGCCGUAAGAC
rnacentral:rRNA from 1 species